rnacentral:tRNA from 1 species
GGCUGAGCGGUAAAGCACUUGGCUUCCGAACAGGGUUCCCAGGUUUGAAUCCUGG